rnacentral:piRNA from 1 species
UGGGACAAUGGAUUCCUCGCUUUGACUGUC